AGUGAACGCUGGCGGCAGGCCUAACACAUGCAAGUCGAGCGGCAGCGCGUCCGACCACCCUCGGGUGGUCGGAUGGCGGCGAGCGGCGGACGGGUGAGGAAUGCAUCGGAAUCUGCCUCGUUGUGGGGGAUAACGUAGGGAAACUUACGCUAAUACCGCAUACGACCUACGGGUGAAAGUGGGGGACCUUCGGGCCUCACGCGAUGAGAUGAGCCGAUGCCGGAUUAGCUAGUUGGCGGGGUAAAGGCCCACCAAGGCGACGAUCCGUAGCUGGUCUGAGAGGACGAUCAGCCACACGGGAACUGAGAAACGGUCCCGACUCCUACGGGGGGCAGCAGUGAGGAAUAUUGGGCAAUGGACGAAAGUCUGACCCAGCAACGCCGCGUGGAGGAUGAAGGUUUUUGGAUUGUAAACUCCUUUUGUGGGGGAAGAGUGAGGACGGUACCCCAAGAAUAAGUCACGGCUAACUACGUG
rnacentral:rRNA from 1 species